rnacentral:pre_miRNA from 1 species
CGGUGUGGGAGUAGAUUUCUGAGAACAUUUUAGUGACCUUAGAGGAUAUGCUCAGCACUGUU